CAUUCAGCUGCUUCUGGUUUAGUGGGCAUUGAUAUUUUUUCUCAGAGUUCACAUGUAGGAACUCUGACUUCAAGUGGUAAUCCAUGGUACCACUUUUUACCUUUUUAGUUGGAGGCUGGAAAUUUCCAAGUUGCCUCGACGGCAUAACUUAACUGUAGACUGCAGGAAUAGGCAAGAUAACCAUCUGACUAUAGACUGAGAGCCAGAGGAGAGGAUUCCAGCCAAGCUAAUAAGUUCGUAACUCCCCUAUGCCCCUCUUCAACCACCGUCCAGCCCUGCCAGAGAGAGAGUGUGUAAUAAUGCUAUACUUUCAUAUAACUUGCAUACAUCAGUUCUCUAGAGCCUGGCACCUGGGAGGGAAUUGGAGAGUGAGUUUGAUGUAAUGGAGUGGGAUAUCUCAUUGGGGCUGUCUGCAAGAACACACAUUGGACUUUUAAAUCAUCAACAGGAGAGAAGACAAGCCACGUCCUGAAAGUCAGUGGGAGCCUUCAUCCUCCUCCUCCUCAUUCUCCUUCCAGACGGCACGGAAGGUCUGUUUCCAUGACAACGGGAGAAUUAAGGGCGAAGGAGCGCCAUCCCAAAAUGACACAUCGGAUUUAGGGGCUAGUGAGAAGAUAAAUCACCUCUGCUGAAUUGACUCGGAGGAAACGGAUUGGAUUUUCUGAAUGUGAACCGCAUAAAAACCCACGGUGAUGGAUUUAGUUUGUCUGCUUAUCCUGCUGCUUCUCUUGUUGUUGACAAGAGUGACAUUG